rfam:Schistosoma mansoni strain Puerto Rico chromosome 2, complete genome
AUUCAGCCGACGAGUCCCAAAUAGGACGAAACACGCUUUAUCCUGGAAU